GGCAAAUAGUAGGUGCUUAAUAAAUGUCAAUUGACAGACACACUUGCCAACAUCAGUAAUAUGCCCAGAGCACUGGCUGAAAAGAAGAUUACUGUCUCUGAAGAGGACUUAGGUUCAUAUAUUACUUUUGAAGCCACCUGUUUGACUUUGGACAAGCCACCUAACCCUCCUGAGCCUUCAUUUCCUUAUCUGUAAGAUGCAAGGGAUGCCAUCUGGGUUCAAAGGACCCUUUCAGCCUAUGAAGUCCAGUUCUUAAAAACAAAGCCUUUGAAACCCAAACAAGCCACCUGAAGCACCUCGAGAGGAUGGCAGUGGGGAUGGCAUUGUGCAAAGAGGACUUGCUGCCAUCUGCUGGGCCUUCUGUUGCAACGAGCAGCCUGCAGAGGCUUGGACCAAAAAGGACUCCUUCCUUCAGCCACAACGGGCCCUUGGGAAGGAAUCACUGGACCGACCAUUUGGAAGCAGCUCAGAGGCCCCCUGAAAUCACUCCAAAGACAGACUCCAAAUGAAGGACUCCUGCUCUCUGAAACUCUGAAUUCGAGGCAACUUUCAUGGCAGGCAUGAUGCCAAGUGCCUGGAUUUUUUCCCAUAUGGCUUUGAUUAAUCCUGCUCAGUCUCUGCUAUCAUCAUCAUCAUCAUCAUUGCCAUCAUCAUCAUCACCACCAUAAUUGCUAUUAGUUUAGACUUCCUGUGAUUUCAUUGGCACGAAUAGAGAAUUCCUAGUGAGGGAACUCCCUCCACUGAUACUGAUUGCCACCUUUCCUACAAUUUACAGUUGUAGAGAAUUACCUAGAUUGCUGGGAAGUUAAGUAACUUGCCCAGGGUCACAUAGCCACCAGGUGCCGGACGCAGAAUUUGAACCCACAGGUUUUCCUCCCUCCAAGGUUGCUCUCUGUCCAAAAAGACUGGUCUUGCUUUUUAAGUAGAAUGCAAAGCCAGGGCAUUAACUCUCAUUCUGACAUGUUGUCAGGUGCUCACUGAGCAAGCACCCUUUUAUGUGGAGUUUCUGCUUUCUCCACUGUCAAGAUGAGCAUGCCAUCAAACAGCCUCUUUCAUCUGAAACAGGGAAAAUGCAGCCAUAUGGAGAAGCCAGUGAGGCAGCAGGAUUUAGUGGGCUGAGGACCAACCACCUUCGAGUCAGAAAGAAAGAUCUCUGAUGCUGACUAGCAAGUCAUCAAUCCUUUUCGUGCUUGGGGCAAAUGUCUAAAACACAGGUUACAGAUGGGUUCCUGAUCUGUGUUGGUUGAGGGAGCUUGUAUGUCAAGAAUCAUGGAUUUGGAGUUGGGAAGGAAACAUAGAAGCCAUGGAAUCUAAGCUCUUCAUUUUAUGGAUGAGGAAACUGAGGCCAAGUGAGCUUCAGUGACUUGUCCAUGGUCACACAGUCAGUAGGUGUCUGAGGUGAAUUUGAACAUAGAGGCCUCUCAGAAGUUUAGGACUCUAGCCUCUUUAUCACAGUGGCCUGGACCAAAAGAAAGAACCCACACAAAUCCUCUUUGUAAUUGUAUCUUUUGCAAUUGUAAAAGAUACAAGAGGCUCUCUUAAAGAAGGAGCCCUUUAUUCCUUCUAUAUAUCAUGGUGGAUGUCUGUCUGUCUGCAUCUUGGGUAACGUGCCCAUCUUUGGCACCCUUUAUAGAAAGGCUUAAUUGCCUGAGGUUGCUUUUCAGGGAGUAAACUAGUAUGGACAUGCUACUUAUUGGACAGAAUGUUUGGCAAUAACUCCACGAUGGAAUCAAUAGAUCUCAGAAUCAGUGACUCCCGAGGGUUCAAGUUUGGAAGGAACCCUUGAGAUCAUCUAGUCCAUGUCCUCUCUGGAGACCCAGAACAGUGGAAAUGAUAUCUCCAAAUCCUUGUAGGUAGAUGAGCUUGAUUUGAACCAAGGUCAUUACCAUGGCGUUCAAGAUUUAACUCCCAGUAUGACCCACUCCCUACUUGGUAUUUCAGUGGCUGUUUGGAUGUCUGGCACUGUUUUUAUCCCUAUCCAAAUUAUUAGGACAUCAUUGAAAUUGGGGCCACAUGGUACCCAUGGGGGUAAAUACAGCUGUCAUUGAUAUCUUUCAGACUUUCAUGAAUAUUGGGUAGUCUGAAUAACCAAUGGCCUAAAUCCAUGGUGGUGAACCUAUGGCAUGUGUGCCUUAGAGGGCACUCAGAGACCUCUCUGCGGGCAUGCAUGCCAUACCCCCGGCAUAGAGUUUGCCAGAGUUUGUUACUAGAAAGCCAGAGGGAUGCAGGGUCAGGAUACUCCCUUCCCCAUCUUCAUGGGCACCUGAGGACAUUUCUCACACCACCCACCUCUCUGAAAGGUUCACCAUCACUGGCCUAGGUCAAUGGCCAAGAGUGGUCACCUGAUCUAUGGGGGAAACUUCUACUUUCUACAAGCUAUCUGAAGCAGCUUGCUUCCUGGUAUUUUCUGUUUCUAGGAAGAAAAUGUUUCCCUCAUCCACCUAGAAUCUCUUAAAUUCUGGGAACACACCAAUCAUCUUGUUACUCUUGUUAGCUAGAUGGAUACAUUAGAGGCAGCUAGGUGAUGCUAGUGGUUAGAGCACUAGGGUCAAGAAGACCUAAAACCAAAUCCAACCUCAGAUGCUUACUGGAUUUGUGACUCUAAGCAAAUUAACUAACUUCUCUCAGUCUUAAUUUCCCUAUAAAUGGGUAUAAUAAUAGUGCCUACCUUCCAGAGGGUUGGCAUGAGGAUAAAAUGAGAUAAUAUUUGUAGGGUGUUUACAAACCUUAAAGAUAAAUGAUAUGGUAAAGGGUAAAGGAUAUUACUCUUCUUUUUAUUAUUAAAACACGGUAGUUUCCAGAGGCACAUCUGCCCUUAGGGUCAUGGGAAGGUGGAGCUAGUAUUAGAAGGUUAGCUAGUCUAAUCUCAUCAUACUGAUCAGAAAACAGAGAAAACGACUUUUCCUAGGGUCACAUGUGUAGGAAAACUGAACCAAGGCAGUUUUUGAGCUUCAUAUCCCCCAGCUCUAAGGUCAAUGCUCUUCCCACUGGAAAUUUUGGAAAGAUGGCCACCUGGGAGUGGGCUGGGUGG